CCCACUUAUACUUGGAGGUGUCCUGGCACCCUACCCGCUUUUUGGUAGGCAUUUGUGUGUCCAAGGCUUUGCAGAAGAAGCAGGCAGGGAGUCUAUGGUGGAGUAACGUGGUGGAGAGGCCUGGAGAGGUGUCAUUCUAGCUGGGCAUUGGGUGACACGCAGUCAUCUCCUCAGUGAACACUGGAUGUGCUCUGUGGCUCCCAGCAGGCCUGUGGAUCCACCAGGGGGCUCCAUUCCUUCUGGGCCAAAGCUGAAGAAGCGGCUGCGCACCAGAGAAGGGCAUCUGGAUGAAGGUGGAAGCACACGCCGGCCUGCAGAACCGCUUAAGGCAUCUUUAGGUGUGGGCUUGGUUUUCAUUUCUGCUUCAUUCCAUGGCCAAAGCAAGCCACAUGGGCAAGUCUGAAGCCGGGGGCAAGAAAGUAUCCUCCACCCACAAUGAAACCAUGGCAAGUGGGUAGAAUGGAGGUUGCACUGUUCGGGCCGGCCACUCUCCUACUGGCUGACAGCAUGCUGCCUGGGAUGAAACAGGGUGUGUGUGCACCGUGGAGUCAGUCCAAGACUCCUGUUGUCACUCAGGGAUUCUUCAUUUCUUCUUCCUAUUGCCUCCACUUCAUGUUAUUUUAUUCCCUUCCCGUUACAAGUAAAAACUGACCAGAGCCCCAGGAAUAAAUGGUUUUCUUGGCUUCCUCCUUGCUCCCAUCUGGACCCAGUCCCCUGGUUCCUGUUGGUCAUUUGCAAACCAAGAGGACCACAAUAAACAAAUCUCCAUAUUUUUUUGAAAUAUUAAGGCAUUCACUCUGCAAA